GUUCGACUAAAACCCCAGAGCAAAGGAAGUUCUUUUCUAAAACCCUAAAUUCACCAAAAUCCCUCAAAAUCAAAGAAGGAAUUUGAUUAAAGAUUAGUUACAAGCUAAAUUCGUGAUCACUCUAGUUAGGAGAUCACAAGGCAAAUUGGGCGAAUCGUCAAGUGGUCAAGGCGGAACGGAUACCCGCUUAAAGGGAAAGCUCUAAAGGUAACUACAACGAACUUUCGGAUGACGAUCAAGCUUGCGAGAGAACCGAACACACAUACAAAUGAAGCUUCCGCAUCUAUAUUAGUUCUUUUGUUACUAAAAACUUGUGUAAAACUUUUGUAAACAUCGUUUGAAUGUUUUGCACUUUAUGUAAAUGUCGUUACGCUGAUGUUUUUGAAAAAGGACAUUUUUGAUAUAUAAAUGCACACUAUAUUAUAUGAAAUAUUCAAUGUU